rnacentral:rRNA from 1 species
CACGAACCGUACGAACGUUAUUCGGAAUUACUGGGCUUAAAGGGUUUGUAGGCGGCCUUGUAAGUCAGGUGUGAAAGCCCUCGGCUCAACCGAGGAACAGCGCUUGAUACUGCAAGGCUUGAGGGAGACAGGGGUAAGCGGAACUGAUGGUGGGGCGGUGAAACGCGUUGAUAUCAUCAGGAACACCGGUGGCGAAAGCGGCUUACUGGGUCUCUUCUGACGCUGAGGAACGAGAGCUAGGGUAGCGAACGGG